rnacentral:rRNA from 1 species
AAAUUGAAGAGUUUGAUCAUGGCUCAGAUUGAACGCUGGCGGCAGGCCUAACACAUGCAAGUCGAACGGUAACAGGAAGCAGCUUGCUGCUUUGCUGACGAGUGGCGGACGGGUGAGUAAUGUCUGGGAAACUGCCUGAUGGAGGGGGAUAACUACUGGAAACGGUAGCUAAUACCGCAUAACGUCGCAAGACCAAAGAGGGGGACCUUCGGGCCUCUUGCCAUCGGAUGUGCCCAGAUGGGAUUAGCUAGUAGGUGGGGUAACGGCUCACCUAGGCGACGAUCCCUAGCUGGUCUGAGAGGAUGACCAGCCACACUGGAACUGAGACACGGUCCAGACUCCUACGGGAGGCAGCAGUGGGGAAUAUUGCACAAUGGGCGCAAGCCUGAUGCAGCCAUGCCGCGUGUAUGAAGAAGGCCUUCGGGUUGUAAAGUACUUUCAGCGGGGAGGAAGGGAGUAAAGUUAAUACCUUUGCUCAUUGACGUUACCC